GCGCCCGUAGCUCAGAUGGAUAGAGCGGCUGCCUUCGAAGCAGCAGGUCGGGCGUUCGAGCCGCCCCGGGCGCU
rnacentral:tRNA from 4 species